CGUACACAAUGUGGCUCAGAACAAUGGGAGUUUCUCCCCCACUUCCAGGCUCCACUUCACAGAAGAAUACCCUUUGAGAGAAUUUCUUCUGGUAUUGGCUGUUAAAUUUUAGAGAGACGGGUCAGCGGCCCACAACUAGCAACACCGAUAUUGUCCCUAUCUUGUCUUCAAGAACCCGUAGGGGGCAGGCUUGCACUGAUAGGAAGCACUCCCAUCUGGAAAGAAGCUGAAAGCGUUGUUCGAACAGGCAAGCGUCCUGGUGAGAAUACCUUAAAGAGGGAGUUGUGGACAAAGUUUGAAGCAGCUUCUUCAAAUGAGCUUCUGUUUAAUGACUUUGUAACUCAUAAAGGCUUUCUUGAUCGAUUGGAUGAGGAGGUUUCUUGAGAUGGAGAUUACCAAAUGGCUUUUGAAUAAAUAGUUUCAUGAUCUUAAAUUCUGAUUUGUACUAGGUGGUUCAUUUGUAUCUUUCCAAAGUAUAAGGAGCUUUCCACAUGUAAUUUUGUAUCCCUACAACCACCCUCCCCUUUCUUCAAUAUUUCCUAAACCCUGAAACCUCUCUAUUCUCUAGCAAUGGCCGAAACCACCGAAUUGAUUCAGCACAUUGAGUUGUACGUCGACACGUCUCGCUCUCCUACUGAGCUGGUUCACACUCCAUUCAAUUUCUACUCGAUUUUUUUUUAAUUUUUUUUAGUGAAAAGUCUACUAGUUUGAGUUCCUUAAUCCUGU